GGGGAGAAGCGCGACUGGGCAGGAAGGGGACACAGACGAAUACUAGUGACACUUCAGAGAUUGGCCACAGGGGAGUGGGGCACACGCCCGUGAGGAGUGAGGACUUGCUGUCUGUGGAGAGGACAUCUGGACGUGCAAGUGUUUCUAGGCAACAGGGGCCACCGCUGGGCGAGGCGACCAUAGGGGCUGCACCUGGGGAAGGGCCAGCAGCUGCAGGCGUAUGAGAAUAUGACGUGGGGGGCGGGGUCCAAGGCGGGAUGUGGGAGCACAUCUGGAGGUGGGACCCUUUGCGGGGGUGUGGCACAGCUGUACAGCCACGCGGAGACCCGGGAGGGGAGAGUUCCAUGCGACUGGGGGCGAUAGGGGGCACUGCCACAUGUAGGAGCACAUCUGCGGGGGGAGAGGUCUUAGCUGGAAGUUGGGAACCUGCUUGAGGAAGUGUCCACAACCGAGCUUAAGAGUCCUAUUCUGGGCGAGAGACCCCGACUGCACCUGGGGUCCCGUCUGCGCAGGAGGGAACCAGAGCUGGCACGAGGGGCCAGGAUGACAGGCUCCAGCCGUCGGUGGAUAGUGCAGGAGGUGGGAGGAGGCCAAGGAUGGGGUGGAGGUUUAUUUCUAGAGAUGAAUGGGGUUGUAUCCCACCCGGGCACCAGCACGCAAGAGGCAGGUCUAACGUGGAGGGAGUAGGAUGCCUCCGGUGGGGGGUGGGUCUGCGGCCUUAGGCACAUGUCCUCCCACCUUUGACUUAGGUGCCCCAGGAUGGAGCGCCCGCGGGGCAUGGUGGUGGGGCAGGAGGAGCAGGAGGAGCAGGAGCUGCUGGAACGGGCCUUCUUCUCCUGGGCUGAGUUCAGCCGCUUCUUCGACGCCUGGUGCCAGCAGCGGCUGGCGCUCUUCUUCAUCCAGAGCUCCAUGCACCUGACCCGCUGCCACUGGGCCAGGCUGCCCCCACUGUACACGCUCAUCGACGUGCUCAAGUACAGCUACGUGCGGCUGGUGUGCAAGGAUGUGCGUGCUCCCAGCCGGCCCGCCAUGGGGCACCACGAGGCGGGCUGCCCGGCCUUCAUCAUCGUCAAGCUGAGCCCCCUGCGGGACCGCCUGGUGGUGACAGAGUGCCAGCUGACCCACUCGCACCCGGCCUGCCCCAUCGAGUUCGCCUACUACUUCCGCCCCGGCCGCCUGCUGGCCAACACCUGCCUGCCGGUGCGCACCACCAACAAGAUCUCCAAGCAGUUUCUGGUCCUGGCCGACGUGCACCGCCUGCUCUCCUACUGCAAGGACCGCGACCACAGCGUCAUCGACGCCCUGCGCGUGCUCCAGGGGCUCUUCCACAAGGACCCUGAGGCCAAGCCUUCCCAUCACAGAGAUGUCCUCAUCAUCACCAUUUCACAAUGAGAUGGAGGUCAGGGCAGUUGCCGGAAGGUUAGGUCUCCAGCAUCUCAGCUCGGGCAGCAGGCUCCAGAGGCGCUGCCGGAUCUGCCUCUCCGUGCACGAGGGAAUGAAUGUUCAGUUCCCAGAAAGGGAAACUGGGGGAAAGGAGGUUAAGGAGGAAACUGAGGCACAGGUUCCAUGACAAGGUUGGAAAGUGGUGAGGCCCAGACUCAAACCUCGGCAGUCUGGCUCCAUGGUCUAUGGCAGUGGUUCUCAACCUUCCUAAUGCCGCGACCCUUGAAUACAGUUCCU